UAGGGAAUCUUCGGCAAUGGACGAAAGUCUGACCGAGCAACGCCGCGUGAGUGAAGAAGGUUUUCGGAUCGUAAAACUCUGUUGUUAGAGAAGAACAAGGGUGAGAGUAACUGUUCAAUGUGUGACGGUAUCUUACCAGAAAGGAACGGCUAAAUACGUGCCAG
rnacentral:rRNA from 1 species